rnacentral:rRNA from 1 species
AGGACGAACGCUGGCGGCGCGCUUAACACAUGCAAGUCGAGCGAGAACCAGUCCUUCGGGACUGGGGACGAGCGGCGAACGGGUGAGUAACACGUGGGUAAUCUGCCCUCGAUUCUGGGAUAGCCCGGGGAAACCCGGAUUAAUACCGGAUAGCCUCUCGAGCUUUCGAGCUCGUGAGAAAAGGUAGCUUCGGCCUCCGAUCGAGGAUGAGCCCGCGGCGGAUUAGCUUGUUGGUGGGGUAAUGGCCUACCAAGGCGACGAUCCGUAGCUGGUCUGAGAGGACGAUCAGCCACACUGGGACUGAGACACGGCCCAGACUCCUACGGGAGGCAGCAGUGGGGAAUAUUGGACAAUGGGCGCAAGCCUGAUCCAGCCAUGCCGCGUGAGUGAUGAAGGCCCUAGGGUUGUAAAGCUCUUUUGUGCGGGAAGAUAAUGACGGUACCGCAAGAAUAAGCCCCGGCUAACUUCGUGCCAGCAGCCGC